GAUGAAGAACGCAGCGAAACGCGAUAAGUAAUGUGAAUUGCAGAAUUCAGUGAAUCAUCGAGUCUUUGAACGCACAUUGCGCCCCCUGGCAUUCCGGGGGGCAUGCCUGUCCGAGCGUCAUUGCUGCCCUUCAAGCCCGGCUUGUGUGUUGGGUCGUCGUCCCCCCCGGGGGACGGGCCCGAAAGGCAGCGGCGGCACCGCGUCCGGUCCUCGAGCGUAUGGGGCUUUGUCACCCGCUCGAUUAGGGCCGGCCGGGCGCCAGCCGGCGUCUCCAACCUUUUAUUUUACCAGGUUGACCUCGGAUCAGGUAGGGAUACCCGCUGAACUUAAGUAUAUCAAUAAGCGGAGGA
rnacentral:misc_RNA from 1 species